AGUCGAGAGGGUUCGAACCAAGGACCUUGCAGUCGGUAACUUCGCGCUCUAACCACUGAGCCAUCUCGC
rnacentral:tRNA from 11 species